rnacentral:rRNA from 1 species
AGUCGAGCGAACGGACGAGAAGCUUGCUUCUCUGAUGUUAGCGGCGGACGGGUGAGUAACACGUGGAUAACCUACCUAUAAGACUGGGAUAACUUCGGGAAACCGGAGCUAAUACCGGAUAAUAUUUUGAACCGCAUGGUUCAAAAGUGAAAGACGGUCUUGCUGUCACUUAUAGAUGGAUCCGCGCUGCAUUAGCUAGUUGGUAAGGUAACGGCUUACCAAGGCAACGAUGCAUAGCCGACCUGAGAGGGUGAUCGGCCACACUGGAACUGAGACACGGUCCAGACUCCUACGGGAGGCAGCAGUAGGGAAUCUUCCGCAAUGGGCGAAAGCCUGACGGAGCAACGCCGCGUGAGUGAUGAAGGUCUUCGGAUCGUAAAACUCUGUUAUUAGGGAAGAACAUAUGUGUAAGUAACUGUGCACAUCUUGACGGUACCUAAUCAGAAAGCCACGGCUAACUACGUGCCAGCAGCCGCGGUAAUACGUAGGUGGCAAGCGUUAUCCGGAAUUAUUGGGCGUAAAGCGCGCGUAGGCGGUUUUUUAAGUCUGAUGUGAAAGCCCACGGCUCAACCGUGGAGGGUCAUUGGAAACUGGAAAACUUGAGUGCAGAAGAGGAAAGUGGAAUUCCAUGUGUGGCGGUGAAAUGCGCAGAGAUAUGGAGGAACACCAGUGGCGAAGGCGACUUUCUGGUCUGUAACUGACGCUGAUGUGCGAAAG